UUGGAAGGGGUGUAUUUAUUAGAUAAAAAACCAACGCCCUUCGGGGCUUCUUGGUGAUUCAUGAUAACUUCACGGAUCGCAUGGCCUUGCGCCGGCGACGGUUCAUUCAAAUUUCUGCCCUAUCAACUUUCGAUGGUAAGGUAUUGGCUUACCAUGGUUUCAACGGGUAACGGGGAAUUAGGGUUCGAUUCCGGAGAGGGAGCCUGAGAAACGGCUACCACAUCCAAGGAAGGCAGCAGGCGCGCAAAUUACCCAAUCCCGACACGGGGAGGUAGUGACAAUAAAUACUGAUACAGGGCUCUUUUGGGUCUUGUAAUUGGAAUGAGUACAAUUUAAACCUCUUAACGAGGAACAAUUGGAGGGCAAGUCUGGUGCCAGCAGCCGCGGUAAUUCCAGCUCCAAUAGCGUAUAUUAAAGUUGUUGCAGUUAAAAAGCUCGUAGUUGAAACUUGGGCCUGGCUGGCAGGUCCGCCUCACCGCGUGUACUUGUCCGGCCGGGCCUUUCCUUCUGGAGAACCUCAUGCCCUUCACUGGGUGUGUUGGGGAACCAGGACUUUUAC
rnacentral:rRNA from 1 species